rnacentral:lncRNA from 1 species
AAUCAUCUUGACAUGGAUGACUUAACUUCUACAAACAACUUCCUCCCCUUAAUGUCUUUAACUAUUUUAAGACCUUUUACAGCAGCCCUACAGAUAAAGAGGCGUCAACAUUAGUGUCAAUAUUGCAUAUAAACCUAGAUCAUCUCCCCUAACUAUCAUGGAUAAUGCUCCUUGCAUAAGCUCAAGCGAGUAGCUCCACGCAAAACCAUCAAUAUUUAGUUUAUACCAAUCUAGUGGUGGGGUCUUCUUGCCGCUAUAGCGUCUCUAGUAUGGUUCCCCUCCUUAAUAUGCGGGGUAGGCCUAGUGAAGGCCACAUAAAACUCUAAUGCUAUGUGAAUGGUCAUCUUGUUAGUCAAUACUAUAACAACUCGGGUUCAUGGUGAAUAAACUUGAUAUGAUCCUUCCAUAGAAUCCACACCAUGGUUGGAAAAAUCACUUACUAACUUGCAAUAUCGUAGGUGAUAACAUCAUUUUAAAAAAGAUAUAUCUAAUCCACCUAUCAAAAAGAAGGAGAAAAAAGGACACCAAGAUAAUUAUUAUUAAUCAACUCACUCC